AACAGACAUGACCAGGAGAGAACCUCUCCAUGGCAUCCUAGAGUCAAGAUGUCAAAGAUACAAAGCAAAGAAGCAGUAUUAAAUGCUGUACAGGAAAAACAGCAACAAAACAACAACAAUAAAAGAGAAGUGCUGGUGUACCAUCAGCAACCCUGAACCAAGGAGUCAUGAAAUGACGUAUUUCAAGUUUCCAAAGCAGAUACUGGCUGGUCAAGACUACUAUUGCAAGCCAAGCGGUCUUCUGAAUUUAAAAAUAAGUAAGGACAUUAUAACAAAAACACGACUGAAGGAGUUCCUGGCCACCAAGCUGGUACUUCAGAAGGCACUAAAGGAAUACUGUAAGCAACAGAAGAAAUUUCAUUCACAAGACCACACAGGAAAGAACUGAUUUCAUGAACAGAUGAGUUGAACAAAGGGGAGCCAGGAGGAGUCCACUGUAGCCAACAAAGUAAACCAGAUACAAAUGUGGGACAAUAUAAAGAACAAUCAAUACAACCAACAAAAGUGGGAAAAAUCAGUAGAUACUUCUCAAUGAUAAUCUACAUGUAAUACAAUGAAGAGAUCAAACUAGUUGACUGGAUUAAAAACUGAAAAAC
rnacentral:lncRNA from 1 species